CAGUAGCCGCGGGAAUACGAAGGGGGCUAGCGUUGUUCGGAUUUACUGGGCGUAAAGCGCACGUAGGCGGACUUUUAAGUCAGGGGUGAAAUCCCGGGGCUCAACCCCGGAACUGCCUUUGAUACUGGAAGUCUUGAGUAUGGUAGAGGUGAGUGGAAUUCCGAGUGUAGAGGUGAAAUUCGUAGAUAUUCGGAGGAACACCAGUGGCGAAGGCGGCUCACUGGACCAUUACUGACGUUGAGGUGCGAAAGCGUGGGGAGCAAACAGGAUUAGAUACCCCGGUAGUCCCUGUCUCUUAUAC
rnacentral:rRNA from 1 species